ACGCGAGUCGCUAAGUAAGCGUGUGUGUGUAUGUGUAGGAGAUGUUGGCGGUGUUUUGGGGAUGUUGCAGCGGUAUUUGAUGCGGGCGAAGAAGGGUUCCUGAUAUACGAAUGCACUCGUCGAAGCAAGUGACGGUACCAGCGG